UUCGACCUGCCCAGUGAACUUUUAACGGCCGCGGUACCCUGACCGUGCUAAGGUAGCACAAUCCCUUGCCUUUUAAUUGAUGGCUAGUAUGAAUGGUCAGACGAGUGUAUCAUUGUCUCUAAUAAACUAAUAAUAAACUAACCUUUAGGUGCAGAGGCCUAAACACAGAAGAAGGACAAAAAGACCCUAUCGCGCUUUAUAGGCCUUUUCUCGCCACUGUCUCGCCAGAAGCUCUAUUUUGUUGGGGCAACAAGGGCGCAACUAAACCCUCCCUUUUAUUUAACGGUUAUAUAAACCUUACUAAUCUCACGGGCAUAGCCCAUUUCAAACAUAAGCCACCGUAGGGAUAACAGACUAAUCUCCUCCGAGAGCCCUCAUUGACGAGGAGGCUUGGCACCUCGAUGUUGGCUUAGGGUCUCUUCAAGAAGCAGCACUCUUGACAGUAGGUUUGUUCAACCUUUAAAACCCUA
rnacentral:rRNA from 1 species